CACUACACACUCCCCCGCCUCCUCUCCGCGGCCGCUUCCCCGCACACCGGAUUCGCCGUCGAGGAGUACCUUGUCGAGGCCUGCGGCCUCACCCGAGCCCAGGCACUCAAGGCCUCGGCGAAGCUCUCCCACCUCAAGUCCCACUCCAAGCCCGACGCCGUCCUCGCCUUCCUCGCGGGCCUCGGCCUCUCCGCCGCCGACAUCGCCGCCGCCGUCGCCAGGGACCCCCACUUGCUCUGCGCCGGCGUGGAAACAACCCUGGCCCCGAACGUCGUCGGGCUCACCGACCUCGGCCUGUCACGCCCUCAGGUCGCGCGCCUCGCCGCACUCGCCGGAAAGUCCUUCCGCAUCAGAUCCAUCGUCUCCAAUCUGCCGUACUGCCGGUCUCUCCUCGGCGGCUCCUACGAGAACCUCCUCCGGGCGCUCAAGCACGACCCCUAUCUCCUCAGACGCAGCCUCGACAAGGUGAUUAAGCCCAAUGCCGCCCUCCUGCGGGAGUGCGGGCUAGAUAAUCGCGGUAUCACCAAGCUGUGCCCCGGUACUAUGUUAUGAGAUUUCUUAAGGAAAAUGGAUUGCUAGACCGUGAACGGGACUACUGGACAAUUGUCAAGAUUAGCGAGAAUCUUUUCCUGGAGAAAUACAUAUGCCCCCACAAGGAAGCUGCUCCGCGCCUUGCUGAAGACUAUGCUGACGCUUGCAAAGGGCAAGUGCCCACUAGAUUCAGAUUUGCAUGAACCAAGAGCGGGCUAUGAGAAUUGGUAACUGCUUGUUGCGCAACAAAGUCUACACUCUAUGCAGUAAGCUGCUCUACCCUGUGAAGCCAGGACAGUCUCACUAUGGGGGUACAGUUACUUGGUUGGUUUCCUCGGAAUCCUUGGUCUCUUUGUUGCCUCUGGAUGUGGCAGGGGAUAAGGCGCUUUGGGCUUCCAUUGGACGAGUGACCCUUCAGCUAUGUGCAUGGGGUUAUCCCUUGGGGAUUUGUAGCAAGGGAAGCAUCAGCUGACUCCCAUCUUUUAAGAAAACAUUUAGUGGGAUCAACAAUAUAUCACUGGAGAUGCGCCUUCAGUUUUCUACCAUGCAUAUCGAGGCAAAUACAGUGAAAAUUUGGAGGUCUGUUUAAAAAAGGUUAAAUGGUGUUAGUUUCUGCCUUUCUGCUAUAAGUAUUAUCACUGAACCUGAUACUUGCAUGAUAAUUUACUUUCACACUAGAACAAUUUUUUACCUACCUCUAUGAGCACUGUUAUGGAAUGGGUUAUUGAAAUCUUUGUGCUACUAAGCUGCUGUCAGUUGAAUUUAGCAGCAGCUAAUGCAUGCAGUUUCUUAUUCUUUUGUUAGAAAAUCCCUCAAAUGCUCGGGGAGCUAUGUUACCUGUCAAUUAUGUGUACAAUUUCAUUGAGUCAACAGUGCAUGCCAUCAAUUCUUUUCUGGAGUUCAUAACCAAUUUGAAACAUAUUUCUCUGUUUUUGGUUCAUAUUUAUUGUUGUAAUGAGCAAUUAGACAUGCAACUUAAAGCCACUAGCUAAUUGAUGGUAAUUUACUCAGACUAAUACUUAGUUUUUCUUUUGUGUUCCGGUAGUUGAGAUGCUAAAUGGGCUCUUCCAUUUUGUACGCUGCAUUCCACCCGGGAAUUGGCCCUCUGUAGUGGUCAAUUGUGAAGUCUGACUCGUAAGGCUUCAUCGCUUAAUUCGAUAACUUGCUGUCUGUUAUCAAAUUUUCCUUGGAGCUUAGUCUGCUGGCAUGAAGGCACAUUUACUUGCUUGGAUUAGUGAUUAGUGUCGACCAUGUCAAGUUAAUCUUAGAUUCAUUUGCUCAUUCCAGGCAAGCACGUUGAGGCAGUUCACAUUCACCUGUCAGUUGUGUAAUUGUGUGUGCGCCUCAUCGCAGUAUUGUUUGCUUAUGUCCCAUGUGUCGGCUCGGGAUCUCGGCUCUAAAAUUCUGCUUAUUUUUUUUUGUCCCAUGAUGUUCCCUUUUCUACUUAAGACGCUCGUUGGUCGUCGUUGGCUUACCCCCUUGUCACAUGGGUCAGUUGGGACCAAAUGUUUUGCACAGGUGAAGCGGCGCUCUACACGCUGCUGAUAGCAGUUGCCAAGGGAGGAGAGGUUGCGGAGAAGGCGACGCAAAAGAUUGACGGAUGGUUCGCCUUCAUCUCCAAUUUCAUGGAGGUUGUGCUCAAGAUAGCCUUCUCGAAGCCUGCUGCUUUAUCAGUUAAUGAAUAGAGCUGGGUUAUCCGGUUAUGCCAAGUUCCUGCCUUCUUCUGUACUCUGAAACUUGCUACAACAUUGAACAGUCCAAUGGUUAGUUGCUCAUUUACUUGCUUAUUAUCAAAUUGUUUAUAUAGGGAUGGAAAAAAGUGUCUUGGUAGCCUCUGUUAC